CAUUCAUACAGACAGCUUCAAGCAAAUCCAUAAAGAUAUGGUUACUGACCUGCUCUGCACUGUGAUUGGAUUUGGCUAAUAAGAAAAACCAGCAGCAGCCAAGACAACAGAAGCAGGGGAAUCUUAGUGUUUCUCUUGCAUUUUUCCUCAUUUCAAUCUGUUGUUGCUGUCCAUGGCACUUUAUGGCUACAAAUCCGGAGGGAGCCCCCUCCACUAUUAUCUCAGCACUCUGUUCUGUUAUUACAUCAUCCCCUCCCCUUGUAGGUUCAGGUUUUGCUUUAGUCAUAUCUAUUUAGUAUUAGGAGUAUCUGAAAUUUUUACUGUAAACUAUCCAUAUCGAUGUGUAUCUGGUUGAAUGUCGGCCCCUUUAAAUAUAUGUUCAUCUAGAGCCUACAAAUGUGGCCUUUGCAGAUUUAAGAGAAUGAGAUCAUCCUAACUUAAGGUGGGCACUAAAUCCUAUGAACAGUGUCCUUAUGAGACAGAAAGGCACAGGAAGUUUAGGAAACAGAUACAGAAGUACAGAGAAGAAUAUCAUGUGAAGAUAGAAGCAGAGGUUGGAGUGAUGCAGCCAAGAAUCAUGCAACCCAGAAAGUCAAGAACCACCAAAAGCUGGAAGAAGGAAGAAUCAUUCUCCCUUACAACCUUCAGAAGGAGUAAGACCCAGCCGAUGCUGUGAUUUUGGACUCUGAGUUCUAGAACUGUGGUUAAGAUCUACUGUCCUACCUGCUUUCACAUAUGCAAUACAGUACUGUCACCUAAAGUCACCAUGGAGAUGACAUCCAUAUGAAUUACUUAUUUAACAACUGGAAGCUUGUACCUUUCGCCCACAUCAUCCACUUUGCCUACCCACUGCCCUGCCUCUGGCAACCACCAACCAGUCUGUU